CUUUAAAAAAAUUUUUUUUAAGUAAAAAUAAAAAAAGUCAUUGCCAAACCCAGAGUUACCUAGAUUUUAUCCUGUGUUAUCUUCUAGAAGUUUUAUAGUUUUGCAUUUUACAUUUAGGGCUAUGAUUCAUUUUAAGUUAAUUUUCGUGAAAGGUAUAAAGUUUAUGUCUAGAUUCAUUUUUUUGCAUGUGGUUGUCCAGUUGUUGCAGCACCGUUUUUUGAAAAGUCUAACCUUUCUCCAUUGAAUUACCUUUGCUGUUUUGUCAAAGGUCGGUUGACCAGAUUUGUGCGGGUCUAUUUCUGGGCUCUGUAUUCUCUUCCAUUGAUCUAUUUGACUUUUCUUUUGCCAGUACCACACUGU